CCCUUAGAUGUCCUGGGCCGCACGCGCGCUACACUGAGUGUCUGAGAUACGAGUCUGCCUGGUCCGGCAAGGUCUAGGUAAUCGCUAAAAGACACAUCAUGCUUGGGAUAGAUUAUUGCAAAUAUUAAUCUUGAACGAGGAAUUCCUAGUAAGCGCAAGUCAACAGCUUGCGUUGAUUACGUCCCUGCCCUUUGUACACACCGCCCGUCGCUACUACUGAUUGGAUGUUUAAGCGAGGUUCUCGAACUGCUAGCGACUUAGCUUCGGUGAGGUCGCAGUGUGGGAAAUGAACCUAGCUUUGGUGUCUAGAGGAAGUAAAAGUCGUAACA
rnacentral:rRNA from 1 species